AAGGUGCAGUUUUGGUUGUGCCAAAUCGUUUGCUACGGUGGACAUUUUGUCCAUGGUACAAGCACAUCUUGGGAAAACCUGCGUCUCGUCAAUCGUAUUGACCGUCGUUGUUUGAAGGAAUUGGCAAAACCAAUUUGAACUUUAUUCUACGGCGUCGCUUAGAAACCGAAGCUGAUAGCAGACCGGUUCCAGAAAAGCAGUAACGGCGAAAUGAACACACGGAGGUCGAAUAAAUAAAUCGGUUCGCCCAGCAAAUGAACGAAAAGGACAUUCAACGAGCGCGCUACCACGUACUUCUGCCACCAACACUAAUAGUGGCGAUUCACUAAUUGGACAGGUUGAGCAACAAACCGUAAAUUACACUCAACUGAAAGGAGCCGAUCGGAUCGGAAACGAAAGCGUCCAAAAGGAUACUCAGAUCACGUUACUCCGUACUUCUGCCACCAAGACACAUUUGGAAGUGACAGACUAGAAAGCGUUACCGACAGCUAGCACAAUAUCCAACAACUGAUAAUUUCCCUCGCAGUCGCUCAGCUUCCGACGAUACAUAUUCAUGCAAGUGCGCUGACGUCGAGAAAUAAUAAGCGUGCGAGAGCUUUAUGUCGGUUGUUGGUCAAGAGGAAGUACGGGCAAUUCGGUUCACGGUCAUUAGCAAACAAUCGCCCCCAAGAGGGGCCUUUUGACAUUAAAAAUGUCUUACUCCACCAGCCCGGGGACAGCUUGACAGAUAGUGCUUGUUUCAUAUAUGUACCACUAAUUUGAUGGUGGCGCUAGUAUGCCUUCUCCGUACGAGUACCACGAACAACGAAACGAAAUAGUUUCAAGAGAAAAGCGUGUUUCGUUACGUGUGUUAUGAACGCCGUCAAUGCAGCAAGAACAACAUUUAGAAAAAGCGUAUUCCAAAAUGUGGAUAAAGAAAACAAUUAUUAGAGAAUAAAUUUAUCCCUAACUGGAAACUGUCAGCAAGGUGCGCUCAUCGUGGAAGUAAGGAGUGUGCAUAUUUAGUCGUGCGUCCGAUAUCGAUCACUCCAAGCAAGGAACGAGAUCAUUCAGAUCCGUGAUCUCGAAAUCGCCGCCAGAACGAAAUCUAUGAUGCGAAGCGAAUCGAGGUGAACCGGAAUGACAUGUGAUGCUCGGCCGGUAAAGAUGAUGAUCGUGUGCGUGAGUAGGACAAGUGACUAUUGUAUACGUGUAGCGAUACGACAAGCAGGGAGCAAGCAUAGAAUAUUAUUGUAAGGAUGUAAUCGAGGGAGAAAAGAAUAUAAGUGAGAUGCGAUUAUAGAUUUUGGCUUUGUGUAUUUUGUUGGUGGCAUUUUCAGUCCAUGCUAGUCGGUGCCGCUGAGGCUUUUGCCAAUCAGCCAAAGCGAAGCCCAUAACACUAAAUACAACAAAAUUUUA